rnacentral:rRNA from 1 species
UACAGAGGUCCCAAGCGUUGUUCGGAUUCACUGGGCGUAAAGGGUGCGUAGGUGGUCGGGUAAGUCUGAUGUGAAAUCUCCGAGCUUAACUCGGAAAUGGCAUUGGAUACUAUUUGGCUAGAGGGUUGGAGGGGGGACUGGAAUACUUGGUGUAGCAGUGAAAUGCGUAGAUAUCAAGUGGAACACCAGUGGCGAAGGCGAGUCCCUGGACAACUCCUGACACUGAGGCACGAAAGCUAGGGGGAGCAAACAGG